AGAAUGCUGUGGAAAAGUUUCUGAGAAGGGAGAGAAAUGGAGGGAAGUGAGACAUGACUAAGAUGUAGGUAAAAAGGAAUAAAGGUUUUCCCUGCUCAAAACUCUCAUGAAGAAAUUAAUGGAGAAGGAAAGCACAAAGCAUGCUUGAAAGAAAGCAAGAGUCUUCUUAUAAGUAUCACCUCCCAUGGAGUGAUAAGAAGUCAAACUCAUCCAUCAUGUCAGUGGGAAGAGAAGGUAUAAAUGAUAGAAGAGAUCCAAGUUUAUCAGGAAAGGAUAAAGGGCAGCUUACAAUUUGGAUCAAAACGGCAAAUUUUGAUACAUCUGCCUACGCUGUCCCUCACAGCAAGCCUGGAGACAUUAGAAAAUAAAAAUAUAAGGUGUCAGAAUGGAUGUAAACUAGAAGAAAACAGAAAUACUUGGAAAACUGAAGAUACGUGGGUCUCACUAUACAGAAAAAUGGUGGCUGGGAGAAGAACAGAGCUAGGGCCUAAGAGACCCGAAUAGGGCCUGAGCCCAGCUGGGGUGGGAAAACUGUAGCAGUUUGGAGCUACACCCUUUGCCUUCUGACAGAGCACCCUGGGCAUGAGCUGAUUGAUGCCCCACACGCUCACACCCCCAUGGAUGUUCUCACAUGGUAUGUGAGCACACUGGUUGUUGUUGCUGGCCAGGUAAACACUCAGAAUAGUGAGUUAUACAAAUAAGUACAGGGAUAUGAUAUUACCUGAAGGUCCACCUUGUACAUGUUCCUGGUGUGAGAGCAGUAGCGUUACCCAGAUGCAGGAAGACAAUGACAGAACAAGGCCAUGAAAAGGAUGGCUACACACAGAGCAGCUUUUGUAUAGCUAUACCAUUUAUCUUGGACCUGGCAAUUGAGACUAAAGAAAGGUGUUAUCAGACAAAAGUAGUGCUUUGGGAAGUAGGAAGAAGACACCUUGGGUGCAAAAAAAUGCCAUGAAGAAUUGAAAUGGUUGAAGCUCAUAUUAGAGUACUUGUUUCAGACAUCUGUCUUGCUCUUCAGCCCCUACUUUUACCAAGAGAGAGGAGGAAAAGUCUAGAGAGCAAACAGACUCAAGAAAACAAACCUGAGCUUGGGACAAAAACAAUCUUACAGUAUUGAUAAAGCUCAAGCAUUGAGAAAGAAAAGCAAAAAGAGGCCUAUCUGUAACACAAGAGUGACUGAUUUGUGCAUUGGCAUGUAAUCUAAAGUGGUCAAAUCAAUGUGACUGUCAGAUUCCUCCAGGGACUUGUGGGACAUAGAUGCUUCUCACUUUCUCUGGGUGAUGUGGUAUGAAGCCUAAAACCAUUUCUCUACCAUGAUUGAAGUCAGCCUGAGCAUAAAGUCUACACAUGAAGAUCAGAUCUGAGCCCUGCUGAUACUACAGCUGAAGACUGUUACAUUUUGGUUGCACAAGCCAUUAAGUUCUCAUCUUUAAGAUAAAAUUUGUUUAUUUUAUGCUUGAAAAAAAGUGCUCAAACUGAUAAUAAUAAGUUGAAUUAUAGAACAGAUGGGUUCAAAACGAAAAUUAGUGAGCUUAAAAGUAGGAUUAAGAAUAUCUUUCCAAAAGCAGCAUGAGGAAAUAAAGAAUGAAAAGUAUUAAAAAAUAAAGCUAAGAAAAAUGUAAAAGCAAAAGUGUCAAACUGUCUAAAGAGAAGAAUUAGUGACAAAUGAAUAAUAAUAUAUUUUUUAAGUUAAUAUUUGUGUUUUUAAAAGAUAUUAGAUUUCAAUUUUCUUAAAAUAAGCUUGGCACUCUCUAAUUUUUUUUAGUGAGAGUUCGAAGAGUGCCAAGCUUUUUAGGAGACUUGAGACAUCCCCUGCAAAGUCAUGCAAGGUCCCAGAAAAUGCAUAAUACAGAGACUUUCUCUGAUAGAACUUUUGGGAGAAGAGUUACAGUAAUGUAAUAAAUGAUUCCAUGAGAAGACAAGAAGAAGGAGAAUCAAAAACAGGGAAAGAAAUUACCAUUUUAAUUUAACAACAGAUGAUAUUGAGUGAUGCACCAUUUUGUGCCACCAAGAAAAAAAAAAGAUCAAACUAUGACAACAUGCUCUCUUCCCACAUUUAUAUUCUGAGGGAUACUUAUUUAAAAGUUAAAGUGUUAUUUUUAAAUGUGUCUUAGAACCCACAAAGUACAAAUGCAAGGUAUAUUUCUGACUACAGGAAAAAUAUAACCUCAUCAUGAAUAUCUGCAACAAUUUGAGAUUAAAACUUCAGGCAAAACUGUCAUUUAAAUUGAUGGUUUGGGGAGGUAACGAUAAGAGAGUGGCAAAGCAUUAUAAAACUAUUGCUUUUCCCCUAGGAGAGUAUAUAGUAUUAAUAACCUUCAAUAACUGGGCAAAAUGUGUAUACAUACAU
rnacentral:lncRNA from 1 species